UACGAAGGGGGCUAGCGUUGUUCGGAAUUACUGGGCGUAAAGCGCACGUAGGCGGAUUUCUAAGUCAGGGGUGAAAUCCCGAGGCUCAACCUCGGAACUGCCUUUGAUACUGGAGAUCUUGAGUUCGGAAGAGGUUGGUGGAACAGCUAGUGUAGAGGUGAAAUUCGUAGAUAUUAGCUAGAACACCAGUGGCGAAGGCGGCCAACUGGUCCGAUACUGACGCUGAGGUGCGAAAGCGUGGGGAGCAAACAGG
rnacentral:rRNA from 1 species